GAUGAACGCUGGCGGCGUGCCUAAUACAUGCAAGUAGAACGCUGAAGGAGGAGCUUGCUCUUCUGGAUGAGUUGCGAACGGGUGAGUAACGCGUAGGUAACCUGCCUGUUAGCGGGGGAUAACUAUUGGAAACGCUAGCUAAUACCGCAUGACAACAGUUAUUGCAUGAUAACUGUUUAAAAGGGGCAACUGCUCCACUACCAGAUGGACCUGCGUUGUAUUAGCUAGUUGGUGAGGUAACGGCUCACCAAGGCGACGAUACAUAGCCGACCUGAGAGGGGGAUCGGCCACACUGGGACUGAGACACGGCCCAGACUCCUACGGGAGGCAGCAGUAGGGAAUCUUCGGCAAUGGACGGAAGUCUGACCGAGCAACGCCGCGUGAGUGAAGAAGGUUGUCGGAUCGUAAAGCUCUGUUGUAAGAGAAGAACGAGUGUGAGAGUGGAAAGUUCACACUGUGACGGUAUCUUACCAGAAAGGGACGGCUAACUACGUG
rnacentral:rRNA from 1 species